rnacentral:misc_RNA from 1 species
GAAAUGCGAUAAGUAAUGUGAAUUGCAGAAUUCAGUGAAUCAUCGAAUCUUUGAACGCACCUUGCGCCCUUUGGCUAUUCCGAAGGGCAUGCCUGUUUGAGUAUCAUGAACACCUCAACUCUCAUGGCUUGCCAUGAUGAGCUUGGACUUUGGGGGUCUUGCUGGCCUAUGGGUCAGCUCCUCUCAAACAAAUUAGCUUGCCGGUGUUUGGUGGCAUCACAUGUGUGAUAACUAUCUACGCUUGUGGUUUUCCACCAGGUAACCCCCAGCAAUGGAGGUUCACUGGAGCUCAUAAACGUCUCUCCUCAGUGGGGACAGAUUUUGGCCGUUUGAUCUCAAAUCAGGUAGGACUACCCGCUGAACUUAA